rnacentral:sRNA from 1 species
UGCCGAGUCUCCUCUGACAAUGGGCAGCGGCUCCUGGACAUGAUAGAAACCCUGAAAAUGGAGCACCAUUUGGAAGCACACAAGAACGGCCAUGCCAAUGGGCACCUCAACAUUGGCGUAGACAUCCCCACCCCCGACGGCAGCUUCAGCAUCAAGAUUAAACCCAACGGGAUGCCAAAUGGGUAUAGGAAAGAGAUGAUAAAGAUCCCCAUGCCAGAACUGGAGCGCUCUCAGUACCCCAUGGAGUGGGGCAAGACUUUUCUGGCCUUUCUUUAUGCACUUUCCUGUUUCGUUCUCACCACAGUGAUGAUCUCGGUCGUCCACGAACGAGUACCUCCUAAGGAGGUGCAGCCUCCACUACCGGACACAUUUUUUGACCAUUUUAACCGGGUGCAGUGGGCCUUUUCUAUUUGUGAAAUUAAUGGCAUGAUCCUUGUAGGACUCUGGUUAAUUCAGUGGCUGCUCUUAAAAUACAAAAGGAAGAAUCCUGCUCAAAAAUGAGGUGAAUUAAUACUUGGGCGCUCAGGAACCCUGGACAGCUACAUGAGGUGUUUAAAAACUGCCCUGACCAUCUUGCCAAACAAGUCUCUGCUCAUGAGGCCCCACAGGAUGAACGAGCCGAGGCAGGACAGUGUCCUGCCCUGUCGGAACAGUGACUGCUGACCUGCCAAGAGAGAGCUGGGGACUGCCUGCUGUCUGCCAGUACAAUGAAGGAAGUGGUUUAUUGGUCACCCAAGAAGGUGGCAGACUGGCUGCUGGAGAAUGCUAUGCCAGAAUACUGUGAGCCUCUGGAGCAUUUCACAGGCCAGGACUUGAUCAACCUAACCCAAGAGGAUUUCAAAAAACCCCCCUUG